GAUGAAGAACGUAGCGAAAUGCGAUAAGUAGUGUGAAUUGCAGAAUUCCGUGAAUCAUCGAAUCUUUGAACGCACAUUGCGCCUUCUGGUAUUCCGGAAGGCAUGCCUGUUCGAGAGUCAUUAACAACCGUUUCGAUCCCUUUCUUUCAGAAAUUACAAAGAGGAAAAGGGUUUGGUUAUGGUGGAGGAGGGAAAGGGAGCGUUUAGCCUGUAAAAAAAGAGGCUGUGUUCCGCCUCCCCCCCAAAAUUGUACAGGCGGUCGUGUGCGCCCACGGAUCGAGGUGUUGUAAAAGCUGCCACGGCACUUUUCACCUGUGCAGUGCGAGAUUGGCCAGCCGGUUUAAAAACCCCUCCAAACAAUCAAAGGUUGACCUCGGAUCAGGUAGGGAUACCCGCUGAACUUAAGCAUAUCAAUAAGCGGAGGA
rnacentral:misc_RNA from 1 species